GAAUUAACAAAAACAUUUGGUUAAGGAGGAUGGAGGAGUUUGGGAUGGAGAAAAAGGGUGAGGCCCGUGUUAGUGAAAUAAAUACUUGAUCACUAAGAUGAACAUUGUAAGAAGAGCAAGAAAACACGUCUUUGUCUUUACCAUUUCAGAACUACGUUAAAUGUCCAGUCAGCACUUGGGGCGUCGUCUUCUCUUCUGAGUAGAAAUGGGCCCUACUCUUCCGUCCAUUUUGGAGCUCCGAUAGGUAUUGAACGGCAAUUUACAUGUGAUUUGCAUCUUUUUUUGUACUUGUGGUUUUGGUAAGUCUUCCAAACCUAAUGACUGUUCCUUUGGCCAGCGACAUAAAUGCUAUAAUCACACAAUUAUUGCACUGGGAACAGUUUAAUUCAGCAUUUUGUUCUCAACCUCAGAACAAUUACUCAACAAUUUCGGUUAACCAGGGACUAAGCUCGCUGCCUGGAGAGAAGUGGGGUACUCGAGAGCUCCAUUGUCUCACAGAAAGGCAGCUACCAGGUUGGCAGGCAGGGCCCCCCUGGUCCUGCACUGCCCACUUCAGCUGCCCCUCUCUGCACUCACAGGAACGAGAUUGAAGACCUCCCUCCCUUUAAGGACUUGCUUCUUGUUCCGUGAUUUAAUGACAUUUCAUAGUCCUCCCAGUGAGACAUUUCAGUGUUUCAGAAUGUUCUUCAAAACAUGGCCAUCAUGAUAGAUUGAGGCAAAAGGAAAUGGCCUGUUUCUGAGGGUGAGUUUAAGCCUCAGAUACCAAGUGGAAGAGGCCUCAGAACUGUGGGCUUCUCAACCAUCUCUAAAAUUCUCCAGCCUCCAGACCGUGCAACAGCCCAGGUCAAUCUGCGCUGCGUGUUUUUAAAAUUUAAAGGAGAAAUAUAAGUGGUUGACAUAACCACAGCUGUUCAGUCCUUUUAGGUGUGUCUUCUCUGAGCCAAGCAGAAGCCCAUGAGGAUGUAAAUACAGUUGUAAAACCUUUGGAGGUAUAGCCUUGGACAGUAUGCCUGAAGAGAGAAUCAACGUCUCUGAGUGCUUCUCACGAGAACAGGCUCACUGUGCUGGCGGGCAACUGUCUUGAAAUUACUGCAAACCCAGGAGGCAAAGAUUGCAUUAUCCCCAUCGAACAUGGUUUCCCAUUGGUGCAGAAUAGAAAAUGUGUGCGGACACAUAUGUUUACUGUUGGAAACUGGAAGAAACGGGAACAGUGACUAAAGCAGACUUCGCGGGCAUUUAUCCUUAAGAAUGGAUUCCAGAAAUGAGUGAAAAUGGCUGCUGUUGACAGCCAGCUUCUCCGGGCACCGGCUUUUCAAGAGCGGAUUCCGGGGUCAAGUCACACGGGAGUCACUGGAAACCCAGUGUGAUACAGAGGAUUGACUUCAUAGUGCAAACUCUUGCUGUAUCUCUUACCCUCAAUCUCACUGAGACAGCUUUCGGACAUCUAAACAUUUUCCUGUCCACGGUAAAUAAGCGUGAGGCAUGGGAGUGCCGUUUAAUCUCCAAAUCUGCCUGGGCUUCCCUGUGUGAUCAGUAGGAGCCGGACUGUCUUUCUCAAAGCUAAGGUUCUUCAAAUUGACGCGGUAUGAUUCAAGGAGAAGAUUAUGAGAGCUCUGGCCUGCACCUUGUCUCACAACGCUGAGCUAUGUGGGCGCUGCGCUUCUGUGUGGCUGCAAAACUUGAGUCAACCAUGUUUAGCCCGGUCCUCGGCGGAGGGUGGGGCGGGGGUGCAAGUUACCUCUUGAGAGACGAGCUACUUCUUGAGAUCUAUUGAAAUGAAAACAUUCCCUCUGACUCAAAAAUUCCCAAUUAAAUGUUUAAUAAGC